rnacentral:rRNA from 1 species
GAGGGGCCCCUCUCGGGUUACCGAAUUCAGACAAACUCCGAAUGCCAAAUAAUUUAACUUGGGAGUCAGAAUGUGGGUGAUAAGGUCCAUAUUCGAAAGGGAAACAGCCCAGACCACCAGCUAAGGUCCCAAAAUAUAUGUUAAGUGGAAAAGGAUGUGGCGUUGCCCAGACAACUAGGAUGUUGGCUUAGAAGCAGCCAUCAUUUAAAGAGUGCGUAAUAGCUCACUAGUCGAGUGACACUGCGCCGAAAAUGUACCGGGGCUAAACAUAUUACCGAAGCUGUGGAUUGUCCAUUGGACAAUGGUAGGAGAGCGUUCUAAGGGCGUUGAAGCAUGAUCGCAAGGACAUGUGGAGCGCUUAGAAGUGAGAAUGCCGGUGUGAGUAGCGAAAGACGGGUGAGAAUCCCGUCCACCGAUUGACUAAGGUUUCCAGAGGAAGGCUCGUCCGCUCUGGGUUAGUCGGGUCCUAAGCUGAGGCCGACAGGCGUAGGCGAUGGAUAACAGGUUGAUAUUCCUGUACCACCAUUAUUCGUUUUAAGCGAUGGGGGGACGCAGUAGGAUAGGCGAAGCGUGCUGUUGGAGUGCACGUCCAAGCAGUGAGAUUGAGUGUUAGGCAAAUCCGGCACUCUUAAGAUUGAGCUGUGAUGGGGAGAGGAACUUGUUCCUCGAGUCGUUGAUUUCACACUGCCGAGAAAAGCCUCUAGCUAGAAUAACGGUGCCCGUACCGCAAACCGACACAGGUAGUCAAGAUGAGAAUUCUAAGGUGAGCGAGCGAACUCUCGUUAAGGAACUCGGCAAAAUGACCCCGUAACUUCGGGAGAAGGGGUGCUCUUUGAGGUUCACGCUUCGAAGAGCCGCAGUGAAUAGGCCCAAGCGACUGUUUAUCAAAAACACAGGUCUCUGCUAAACCGUAAGGUGACGUAUAGGGGCUGACGCCUGCCCGGUGCUGGAAGGUUAAGAGGAGUGGUUAGCGCAAGCGAAGCUACGAAUCGAAGCCCCAGUAAACGGCGGCCGUAACUAUAACGGUCCUAAGGUAGCGAAAUUCCUUGUCGGGUAAGUUCCGACCCGCACGAAAGGCGUAACGAUUUGGGCACUGUCUCAACGAGAGACUCGGUGAAAUCAUAGUACCGGUGAAGAUGCCGGUUACCCGCGACAGGACGGAAAGACCCCGUGGAGCUUUACUGUAGCCUGAUAUUGAAAUUCGGUACAGUUUGUACAGGAUAGGUAGGAGCCUUAGAAGCGUGAGCGCUAGCUUACGUGGAGGCAUUGGUGGGAUACUACCCUAAUUGUAUUGGAUUUCUAACCCGCAGCACUUAUCGUGCUGGGAGACAGUGUCAGGCGGGCAGUUUGACUGGGGCGGUCGCCUCCUAAAGAGUAACGGAGGCGCUCAAAGGUUCCCUCAGAAUGGUUGGAAAUCAUUCAUAGAGUGUAAAGGCAUAAGGGAGCUUGACUGCGAGACCUACAAGUCGAGCAGGGUCGAAAGACGGACUUAGUGAUCCGGUGGUUCCGCAUGGAAGGGCCAUCGCUCAACGGAUAAAAGCUACCCCGGGGAUAACAGGCUUAUCUCCCCCAAGAGUUCACAUCGACGGGGAGGUUUGGCACCUCGAUGUCGGCUCAUCGCAUCCUGGGGCUGUAGUCGGUCCCAAGGGUUGGGCUGUUCGCCCAUUAAAGCGGUACGCGAGCUGGGUUCAGAACGUCGUGAGACAGUUCGGUCCCUAUCCGUCGUGGGCGUAGGAAAUUUGAGAGGAGCUGUCCUUAGUACGAGAGGACCGGGAUGGACAUACCUCUGGUGUACCAGUUGUCGUGCCAACGGCAUAGCUGGGUAGCUAUGUAUGGACGGGAUAAGUGCUGAAAGCAUCUAAGCAUGAAGCCCCCCUCGAGAUGAGAUUUCCCAACUUCGGUUAUAAGAUCCCUCAAAGAUGAUGAGGUGAAUAGGUUCGAGGUGGAAGCGUAGCGAUACGUGGAGCUGACGAAUA